GAACUGGAUACGAGAAAUGUGAUUCCUCCCAAUGGAUCUGAGCACUGGUCCCACCUCAAAGCCGAGCGAGAAGGCUUCAAGAGUCAGUGGUAAAGGUCUGGGAUUCCUGCAAGAUGGAGAGCCUGGCCCCUCAAGCUCCAGGGAUGCACGGUGUCCACCUGAGCAGGGGAAACGCCUAGAGAGGAGGCCCGUGGCAAAAGAGGAGAGCCUGGAGCAGCCCAUACCUCAGCUAUUUGGUCGGGAAUUCAGAAGAAGCUUGAUUGGGUAGUUCUGGCUCCAGGUUGCUCAAGAGAUUGCAAUCAAGGUGGCAGCUGGGGCUGCAGUCAAUUGAAGACUUGGCUGGGGCUGACUGAUCUGCGUCCAGCCUGGCUCAUUCACGUAUCUGAUCCCAGCCCUCAAGUCAGAAAGAGAGUGGCCUUUCUGCUGGGGUUGCUUCCUGUGUCCCAGCCAUGUCUGGUGUCCAAGAAAAGAUGUGCCCAUCAGUAGUCGAGAACUGUCCUUCCACAGUGCCAUUUGGCUGAUACCUGGAGUGGUGGCAGAGCCCUCUAGAGGAGGCUCAUUUGGAUAAGAGGAGAGGCAAAACAGAAGAUGCCUGAAAACACUGGACUAACAACUACUGGGAAUCACAUGUGGUCAAAAUCGCUCUGCACCAGGGGCCUGCAGACGCUCUGCCACACUAGGUGUUCUCUGUGGUCACCUCCAAGAUGAACUACCCACACUGGAAUCCUGGUCUCAGGAUCUGCCUCUGAGGAACCCAGACCAAGGCAGGCUACCAUACAGUCAAAAGUAUGGCUGAAAAAAAAAUCAACUGUCUCCCUUUUCCUAGAGGUUGUUGCAGAUUUAUGAGACCAUAUUCUUAAAGCCCGGUUAGGAGCAGACACCAGCUUUAUCCAAAACCCAUAAAAUGUGCUACAUCCCAUACAAAAUGUACUGUGCGGCCAUUUUUAAAAAUGAGGAAGAUCUCAGUAUGUUGAUAUGGAGCCAUAGCCAAGAUAUAUUGCAUAGUGAAGAAAGCAAGUGACAGAACAGCGUAUAAGAUGCCACCGUUUGUGGAUUUUAG
rnacentral:lncRNA from 1 species